UUCAAACUGAGGAGUUCGGACUCCGGACCGGCAUUUCUGCUUGUUGGUACCCUGAGGUAAGUAAACUUUCUACAUUUUUGAAACGAUAUUACACUCUAAAAGUUGGGUUAUUUUGUUUGGUUGUUUUAUCAGUGUUGGGUAGUUUUUGUGUAACCCAACUUGUUGGGUUAUAUGUUGGGUAAUUUUGAAGCAGAGCCAGCUUAAUAGAUACAUAGCUGUUUCUCAAUAUUACUUUCUCUAGUCCACAAAAUGUAUUUUAAACAUAAGUUCAGGCGAGAAUAUAUAUGUAUAAUGUUCAAAUUUGCAGUCGGUUUGUAAAGUGAAUGCCAAUUUUAAAGUUUAAUUACACAAAGUCGGAAUGUUACCGGCGUGACCACCGGGUGUCAGUGUUGUUCUUCCCCAGAGAGAACUUCUCCCUUCCCCCACACAGACGCGUCAGUGCCUCUCACUGCAACGAUACCUGAAGCGGGAGUUUACUAAUUCACCUCAGGAUUCAUGAACGGUUUUUCAUCGACUUAUCUUUGAUUUAUUUGAAGGAAAAGACCCUGAUGGAUAAAAGAUGGAUAUUUUUUUCCUGGAGAAGCUAAAACAAUGUAACUUUGAGGUUCUGAUACCAGCUUUUACAAAGUUAUUUACAGAGUUCACAAGACUUCUAUGUGUAUUCCCUGACCAUGCCGAAAAGCUAUUUGAAACUUGGGCAUUGCAUUUUCCAGACAGAAUCCUGCACUUCCCAGCCAAGAACCAGGAGCAUCAACAAAUCACCUCCAGAACCCCAUGAUGAUAUUCCAACUCCUGUCUACAAAAGUGGGAAGAAAAUCUUAAGUCUAUGUUGGGACCAACAUGGUUGCAUUCUUCUGAGAGCCUGAUGUGACAAAACCAUUCCCAUUUGUCCUUGGAUUGGAAGAUGGCGAUCUCUGCCAUCAAGCCUUCUUUGUUUUUGACAGACAGUCACUCCAGCAAUACACCCUCCUUGGUGAUGUUGACAUGUUUUAAACUUUUUUUAUUUUUUGGACAUUAAUUUUACUAAGCAGUGCACAUCAGUGUUGGUGUUUUUGAAGACUGUUGUUUACAAACUCCCAAGAACGGAAUCCCUUUCUAUAAGAAGUCUGUGUAGUUAUUUGUCAUGCUAAGGUGAUAACUCAUGUUGAUCAUAUAUUGACUGUUUGUGCAACUUAGUGUUGAUCUUAUGUGUUACAUUAACCAUUUCUUAUUACACGGUUCUCUAAAAUGCUAGAUUCUGAUUGGCCAGUCGUGACAUUCUACUACUGCUCAAAACUAAAAACUCCAAUGUUGCAAAUCAUUUUGACAGGUAAAGUUUUAUAUUACACAAAAAAUAAAUAUCAAUGUCUAUUAAUUACAUAUCCAACAUUAAAUUUACAAAUGAUUAAAUGUGUUCGUGACAUUUGUCCUGAAGAAACUGUUGGGGCUUUUUUCUGUGAUGACAUGCUGCCAAUACAUUAUCCCUUACUUGUACAACUUUUUACUUGAUCUAAUUGUAAUGUUAACUGGGUAUCUGUCAUUUUAGAUUGUGAGAUAUAAUACUAAUAUAUUUUUUUAUAUAUAUUUAUUUAUUUAUAAUAUAUAAACGUAUGUAUGUUUAUUAAAAAGUGAAAAUGCUUAAGGGAAAUAAUUAAAUAACUAAAUGGUUGAAUGAAAUGAGACAUUUUAAAUGUAAACUAAAGUUUUGCUGUCUAAUA